rnacentral:rRNA from 1 species
UACGGAGGGGGCUAGCGUUGUUCGGAAUUACUGGGCGUAAAGGGCGCGUAGGCGGCCUUCUAAGUCGAACGUGAAAUCCCUGGGCUCAACCCAGGAACUGCGUCCGAUACUGGAAGGCUUGAAUCCGGGAGAGGGAUGCGGAAUUCCAGGUGUAGCGGUGAAAUGCGUAGAUAUCUGGAGGAACACCGGUGGCGAAGGCGGCAUCCUGGACCGGUAUUGACGCUGAGGCGCGAAAGCGUGGGGAGCGAACAGG